rnacentral:lncRNA from 10 species
CUACAUAGACCUUUUGCUAGCUUUGUGACUCAGGACUAGCUUUUUCAAAGACCUUGGAGUCAUCUCUUUGAAAUGGAAACAUCAAGGAAGAUAACACCCCUACCUUCCAGUUUCAGUCAAAGGGUAGAAGUCUAACUUUGUGAGUUCCUUGCUCCAAACUGCAAACCUAUCUCCUGUUACAAAGAUACAGAGAAGUUGUUAGUCCUGUGGAUAAAGUCAGUUACCUAAAUAGAUGAUCGCCUCAACUGCUAGCAAGCUGCCAUGCUGUUGGUAGCAUUUUAAAAAGACAAGCAUGGCGAAGAAAGGAUAUCUCUGCCAAGCAGCCAGGAACAUCCUGAGGCCUGUCAGCAGCCCUUUCCGUGAAACUGGAAAUGGAUCUUCCCCUUGUGAUGACUACAGUCCCAACUGAGAGCUUGACUGCAACCUCAUGAGCAGCCCUGAGCCAGAGACACUGAGCUAAUUUCUGCCUGAAUUCCUGAUUCAUGGAAAUUAUGGGCUAAUAAAUAUAUCUCAUUUUAAGCUACUAACUUCUGAGGUGAUUUGUUAUACAGAAUAUAUAUAUAUAUAUAUAUAUAUAUAUAUAUAUAGAGAGAGAGAGAGAGAGAGAGAGAGAUCAAAUCCAAGAUCAUUUUUCCCCCAAAUUUCACAUUUUCUCAGUAUUUAUUCAGUGGAUUAUGCCCCUGGUGUUCUAUCUACAGAUUCAUUGCUAAAUCCAAGAGAUAAUAUAUAUAUACACACACACACACACACACAUAUAUAUAUAUACACACACAUAUAUAUAUAUAGAGAGAGAGUAACAGAUAUUCUGGCAUUCUUCAGAAACUGUAUGAAAAACUAGAGAGAGGCAGAGAGUGAGAGUAAGCAAAAGAGAGAGAGAGAGAGAGGAGAGAGGAAAUCAAGAGAGAAAAGUAAGCUAAAUAGGUACUUCUCAUCUACGAACUAAAUUUUCAAAAAAUGUCCUGAAGGAGUAGAAUCAGAUAACACUUGUAAUACUCUAAAAAAGGUGCCGUGUUUUUUGGAGACAACCAAUAGACCUUUUUAUUUCAAAUUUUCUUACUACAGGUUCGUAGAAGCCAAUGAAAAAUACAGAAACAUAGUAAUUGUGUAAUUCACAAUAUCUGUAAUAUUUUUUACAAGUUACUUACAGUGAGAGAUAAAUCAAUUUUUUUCCAUGCAGAGUCUUUGAAGCCAUUUAUCAUUUGCCUUUAGUUUCUCCAUCAUACAAUCACCACAGUUUGGAAUAAAAUUAUAAACAACUGAAUAUAUUUGUUAAAUAAAACGACAACUACAAACAUUCCUAAGAUUUAUUAUUUCCUAAUUCAUUUUUCUUCUUUUUAAAAAGUGG